rnacentral:rRNA from 1 species
CUCCCGCCGGCGACCGGCGCACGGGUGAGUAACACGUAUGAAACCUGCCCGUAGCAGGGGGAUAAGCGGAAGAAAUUCCGUCUAAUACCGCGUAACAACCCAUGGAGGCAUCUCUGUGGGUUUAAAGGAAGCGAUUCCGGCUACGGACGGUCAUGCGUCGCAUUAGCUUGUUGGCGGGGUAACGGCCCACCAAGGCGACGAUGCGUAGGGGUUCUGAGAGGAAGGUCCCCCACACUGGUACUGAGACACGGACCAGACUCCUACGGAAGGCAGCAG